GGAAGGGUGGCCGAGCGGCUGAAGGCGGCGGUUUGCUAAACCGUUAUACGAUUGAAAAGUCGUAUCGAGGGUUCGAAUCCCUCUCCUUCCA
rnacentral:tRNA from 1 species